rnacentral:misc_RNA from 1 species
UCGAAAUAAACCUGAUGGGUUGUUGCUGGUUCCCUAGGGAGCAUGUGCACACCUUGUCAUCUUUAUGUCUCCACCUGUGCACUUUUUGUAGACCUUUCAAGGUCUAUGUUGCUUCAUCUACCCCCCCCCAAAUAAUAAUAGGAUGUUGUGCCUUUUGAAAUAUA